rnacentral:lncRNA from 1 species
GGUAGACAUGACACGUUGCUAGAUGUCAAUCUUGUUUUAUAGGUUUGAUCAAAUUAAAGAGUUAAUUCGAUCACCAAUUAGAAAGGAUUCUAAUUGUUAAGUUCGGGUUCGCGCAGUUUGGACUUAAAUCGAUUAGAAGAGUUCUAAUCAAGUUGGGUCAACUCGCACUCACACCUAUUGCUGGGUCACACACAAGAAAACUUAUCAAGGGUCUAAUUGGAUUAGAUCAUGUUUGCAAGAUAAACAUCCUAGCAGGUGUUGCAAACCUUAGCUCCUAAUUCGAAUUGGAUUCGAAUCUGAUUCGAAUUGGAUUCGAAUCUGAUUCUUAAUUGAUCUAAUUUGAUUAGAUCAUAUUCUAAUAUGGGUUAGCCAAGAGUUGGCACCUAAUUGGCUUGGUUUGAGUCUAAUUGGAUUAGAUUUAAUAAAUCAUUCAAUUUAGACCGUUAGAUCUUGAUCUACCGUUGGAUGAAGACAUAAUGGAGAGUUGGUUUAACCCAAUUGGAUUGGGUUAGAGGAUGGCUACCAUAAUUGNN